rnacentral:rRNA from 1 species
GACGAACGCUGGCGGCGUGCCUAAUACAUGCAAGUCGAGCGGAACUGGGGGAGCUUGCUCCUUCCAGUUUAGCGGCGGACGGGUGAGUAACACGUGGGCAACCUGCCCUGCAGAUCGGGAUAACUCCGGGAAACCGGUGCUAAUACCGAAUAGUUUGGCGCCUCUCCUGAGGCGCUACGGAAAGACGGUUUCGGCUGUCACUGCAGGAUGGGCCCGCGGCGCAUUAGCUAGUUGGUGGGGUAACGGCCCACCAAGGCGACGAUGCGUAGCCGACCUAAGAGGGUGACCGGCCACACUGGGACUGAGACACGGCCCAGACUCCUACGGGAGGCAGCAGUAGGGAAUCUUCCGCAAUGGACGCAAGUCUGACGGAGCAACGCCGCGUGAGUGACGAAGGUUUUCGGAUCGUAAAACUCUGUUGUGAGGGAAGAACACGUACCAACUAACUAUUGGUACCUUGACGGUACCUCGCCAGAAAGCCACGGCUAACUACGUGCCAGCAGCCGCCGCGG